GGAGAUGAAAUGUGUAGAUGGAGUUGCUGAUGGAUCAUUUUGACUCAGAUGUACAGCACAUGCAUGGAGUGCUAUAAAUUUGAAUGUAGAUAUUUCCUCUGACAAGGAAGAUUAUGGCAUAUAAACUUCAUAAGAAAUUAUGCUUGAAUUGCUUUGAUUGAGAACUGUGAGCCAAUGCUGUUAAUAAAGAAUUAAAAAAGAAAGAGAGAAAAAAGAAGUUUGGCAAAAACCAACCAGCAUAUCAAGUAAGUCUGACACAAGGACCCCUUAUUCCUCCACCAUUGCAAAGAAGAAUGAGAGGUUCAUUUUCUCAUCCUUUCUCAAGUCUAUUUCGUUGGGUGCUGGAGAGAGGAAGCGACUUGCAUCUAGAUUGCCGCCAUGCUUACCUGGAAGUCCCCCUUUAUCUCAUUCUUAAUGGAAGUUUUUGCACUAGUGAGGUUGUCCCUGGCAUCCUUCAGUCCCCAGUAAAAAUAUCCAUUGAGGAAACUUUUCACCUUCUCAAGACUUUCCCUCUCUGCAGUGAAAAUGGUAUAAAGGAAGAUCUUGGCCCUCAACUCAACUGAACCAGAAGCAGAUAUAGCAACAUAACUUCCAACAUGUAUUCUUACCCUGUAUAUGACAAUUCUAGCCUUAAAACUCUGCAAACUUCCUUUAUUUAAACUGUCAUUUACAUUACCUCAGUACUUGAGGUUAGGGUAUUUCCCAGUGGUUGCCCAUUAUAACACAUACUUGUGAAGUUGAAUUAUUUUUAAGUAUGGGAUUUUAUGUUUAUCUCUAUUAUAUUUCAUCUUUGUUAAUUCUGCCUGUUAAAAUGUUUUGGAUCCUGACUCUGUCAUACAUGAUAGCUAUAUCUCUCAUGUUUAGGUCAUCUACAAAUUUAAUAAAGAUAAUAUUUAUAUCUUCA
rnacentral:lncRNA from 1 species